AUAGGUUUGGUCCUAGCCUUUCUAUU
rnacentral:piRNA from 2 species